UAAUUAGCAAUCUCCAUUUGCGUUUCCAUGAAUACCUAGAUUGCUCUUUGAUUCCUCUUUGUUUUGCUUUCAUCUUUCGAAUCAUCUCGCCGAGCCCUGGCCAUGGAUGCUAGAGCUUCUCUAAGGGCUUUUGCAAACUGCUUUUCACUAAGCCAGUCCUCGAUCUUCUUCACUUCUCCGCCAUCUGUGGAGGUUGCUUUGAGGAGAUGACGCUGCAGUGUCAGUGUCUCGAUGGGAAGGGAUGCCAUUGCUCCUGUCAUCGAGAGAAGGAGUGAUGCUAAGGAGUUUGCCCACAUGGAGCUAUCUACUGUGAUGGCUUUGUCUAAAUUGGAUGUCUGAUACGUUCAGAAGGUCAAGGAAUUACCCCCUUUCUUCAGUGAAUAUGGGCUGUGAUUCGUUUUCGUGUCUUGGUUGAGGUCAAGUGAUUGUUAAAACUAUCUGAAAUCCUGGAAAUCACCAAGGUUACAAAUUUCAGUGAGAAUGCUUGCUCUUUCUUAGAAAACAUAAUUCAUGAUAUUAAGUUCUUUGAUGCAUCGGAGGUCAAGAAAAUCACGGAGUGAUGAGCAAUGAUGUCCAGGCAGUGGAAUAUUUCCUAAAAUAGAUAUGCAAAUCAUUUUCCAGAGAUUGCCAAAAUUGAUAUUCUACUAUUGAGGAUUUAAAUACAUACCUGUUUUUCAGUAUCACUGAUAUGUUGUUGAGUGUUUUGCCUGACUGUUAUGUUUUAUUUCAUCAUUCUAUUUCAGAUUUUCAGGUGCUUGAAAUUUUCCAUUUUGCAUGCACAUCUGGGGUUAUUAACAAUCUAGCUCAUCCUUAUUGUUGAAAGAAGCAACAAAUACUGUCAUAUUUCCUACCAUAAUCAAGCUAUGUGAGGCAAUAAGGACAUGGCCAAGGAGAAGUCCCAUAUUCCUAGGUUGUAAUACACUCAUGGUCAGGUAAUUGAGUAUAUAUCAUAUGAUUGCAGCUUUUAUCUUAGAUCCUGUAAUUUUAAUUAAGUCAUUAUACAAUUUACCCAAAAACCUGUGAAAAGCGAGCUAUGAUAUUUGUGUUUAGCAUCAUUCUCAUUUGGAUUAAUAUCUUUUAUCUUGACACCAAAUUCAAUUUUCUUUUUAAUAAUUGCUUUCUGGAAGCCUGUGAUUCACUACCAAUAUAGUAUGUUUUCACUCUGAAGCUUUUAUUUAGUUAUUUUUUAAAAAAUAUUUCAAUGCUUAAGUGUAUUAUCUUUGUAGAAAUUUUAAUCAUUCCUUUGGUUUUAAAGAGCACAAACUGAAAUAGGUUUCUGGUUGUGCCGAUUAUUACAAAUGAUAGACUCAUUGAAUGAUAAGGGAAGAUCAUGUUAUCUGAUUUUAUAAACAAUCAAAUAACAUUAGAAACUACCGUCUUUUCUUUUGUACAUCGCUAACCAAGGUGGAGAAAAAAAAUCGUAGAUGGUUUCCAUAAUUGAAUUCAUGAAUAUACUUCGUUAGCUUUGCGCCUUCUCAGGUCUCAGGUUAUGCAAAAACUGAAGGAAUUGACAAGAGGUAAAGAUGUUACCAUGGAUAGCAUAAAACAAUUUAUCAAAUGGUUAGGUUUACCGGAUGAUGCUAAGUUAGAACUACUAAUAUUAACUUCUCAUACUUACAUGGGCGAAGGAGAGAGAUUAGCAAAAGUUGUUGAUGAUGCUGUGGUUUAGCAAAUGGAUUCAACCUUUUUAUAGAUGAUUCUAAUUGCUUCAAUGUCUUCAUCUGAUAACUGAGCAUUGGUUCGGUGUUCCUGAUGGAACUUUUUAUUUUUUCUUCUCUAAUUAGUUAUAUAUUUGGUUUCAUGCAUUAUUGAAUCAUUGAUAUAUAUUUGGCACUUGCUAGUUAUCAUCACCAACUUUAAUUUUUUUUUAUAUCUAGACUGUUUAUAGUGGAGUAAGGUGGUGGUUUUUAAUUUUAAUUUAAAUUUUUUUUUUUAAAAAUGGAUAAUCUGCAUUUAUUGGAAGCGAGAAAGUAGAACAGAACAGAAGGAGAUACACUAACAAUGAACAAUAUGAAUAAUGGAGACAAUAAAUAAAUAGACUUAACAGUCUAAUAGGGGUGGACAAUUGACCAAUCACACUGACACCAAAAAAUAGGAAACAAACAAAAAUAGAACCGAACAAAAUGCUUUGGGAGGGAUGCUUAGAGUAACAUUAGCUAGGAGCACUCAGGGUGAGGUGACUUCCUGUCUGGCUAUACAUUCAUCAAGAUUACUCGCUAUCUCAGGGUGUCUGUGUAAGUCGAAGCUGCCCUUAGCCGUCAUAAUUAAGUCUUAUAGUAUAGGAACAAUUUUUAUAAUAAUUGAAAAAUACAAUGAAGAUUUUGGUUGGAAGAUAUAGGCAUUCUUUUUUAACCAAAGGUAAAUCAGUCUCUAGUGUUCAUAAAUAAGGAAUGGAGAUUGAGUCUCUAAGAACUUUAUAAUUCCUAUGGGAAGUUUGGGAGGGAAUUUAUUCUGCAAGUUUGGGUGAAAAUUUUCUAAAUUUGAGCUGUAAAGGGGCCGUCGAUAAAUAGGUGAUCGAUCGAUUCAAGUGCCCAUGAUAAAAUACACAAGUUGUUGUAAGUAAUAUGUUGCACCUUCUAGUAAUCAAGUUUUUUUGGAGUAAUGAUGAAAUUGUCUGAAGCCAAACAAACCAAUUAAAGAGAUUGGCUUUGCGCGCGUGUAGGCGAGUGUAGGCUCUUUUCUAAAUAAUUUGGGUAGGUGGACAACCGGAACACCAUCAUUCAGGUUCUUAUAAAAAGAAGUGACAGGAAACCUAUCAUGGUAGACACCACCGUUUGAAUUGCAGUUGGGCUGAAAUUCUGCAGAAAAUAUGAACUAUUGUCAGAGUCAAUCACAAGUGAUGAAUGUUGCGGUAAUUGCACUAGUUUGAGGUCCUGCUGGGCUGUAUAUGAGCGCACUGUUGUUAAGUGAAUUGGAGGGAUGACGCUUGGGGAGCAGAGGUUGAGAGGGGAAAAA